GCCAAGGUCUAUGGUUUUGUCCCUUUAUAGCCUUCACUCAGGAAAUCAUAUUAUCUCCAGCAAGAUUCCAUGGUCUGCAGUCUUAUCUUAAAAGAACAUGAGAUGAUCAAGAGGCCGAAGAGGACAUCAAUAGACAACUUGCCAUUCAUUGUGGGCUGUCUGUUCACCAUAAAGCAAUCACAUCAAUAGACAACUUGCCAUUCAUUGUGGACUGUCUGUUCACCAUAAAGCAAUCACGUUUUAUGAGUUCAGAGGCUGGUUUUUGGUUUCUGUUCAUUUUGGGUUUGGGUGUUCCUUCUUUUGUUUUUAGUGACUGUAUUUGCAUUGUCACUUUUUAUCUGCCCAUUAUAAUAAUUGGUCUUAGAAAGAAAUCUUCAUUUUUGUCUACAUUGUAGAAUCAAGAUAAGGAAUAAAAAACAGUUUAGAUUGGGGUCAGCAAGAAAAUUACUGAAUGAGUUGCUUUGUGGCUCUUCUUCCUUCCUUAAUGAAGCUGAAUAUUGUUGUGUCCUUGUAGGAAAAUGCUCUAGACCUGGGAUGUGGCUGGAAGAGGAAGACCAGGGCUUCCUGAAGAAAGGCGUCAGAUGGAAAGAACCACAGAUCUUGACAAACUCCACACUCUGUAGACUACUAUCCAGAUCAAGUGGAUUCAAUCCAUGGAUGCUGAAGCCAUUUGAAAUGGUACAACUGACAACGCGGAGUGAUACAAGAGUGAGAGAAAGAUGAAGACGAAGGUCCAGGAUCUUCCCUAUACUGACUCCGUCAUCUUAGCCAAACCACUCCACAUAGGCCCAGUCUCCUGAGCGUUUCUUCUCUCUUGCAAAAUGGAGAGGAAAGUAAUAUGACUUUAUAGCUUUGAUGUGUUAGAUAAGCAAAGUGUUUCAAAUACGUUGAAAGCAAAAUAGUUUUAAGCAAAAAGUUAUUACAUGAUAGUGAUAAUAGUAAUUUUGUAAUAAUAUGAUGGUCCUGGAUAAGCCACUGUUUGUGUGCUGUGAAAGGGCAAACUAUGGUCCCGAGAUCUGGCUCUAACAGAAGGUCCUAUGUCUAAAAGACAUUUUUGAUAAAGCUGAGUGUGCUGAGGCAUCUUGAGACUAUAAGACCAUGAACCCUAAAUCCAGUGACAUAAAACUACAAGCAUUAGUUUCUUGCUCACGUACCUGCCAGUCAGCUGGAGUUUAGUUGAUCUAGAACCGGUUCAGUUGGGCUUAGCUGCAAGUUGCAGAUCUGGUCCAAUGAGGAUGUUUCUCUCAUCCUUUUUGGACCAGCAAUUUCCCCAAACAUGCUCUUUUCACAGCAAUAGUCAGGAACACAUGAACCCAAGCCUCUGCUUGCAUCACCAACUGUUAACAUCCCUUUGGCCACAGCAAGAAAUAGGAAAGCAUAUUCUUCCCACCAUGAAGCCGAACCAAGUCAAAUGACCAAGCCCAACACCCAUUGGGUUGGGAAAUGUAUUCCUCAGUGGAAGUCGGUCAAUGGGAGUGAGGAUUUGCUGAAAAAUAAUCUACUACACAAGACAAAACGCUAGCUAGGUAGUGCCUAGCAUACUCUUGAGCCACUGGACCCAGUUAUUUAAAUGUGCUGCCAUUUUGGCAUACGUUAGUGGAUCAUCACUGGAGGUAGGACGGUAGAUUUACUUUCCAAUUUGUUACAGCUCACCCUUGGCCUCGCAUUUGUGUUUUUCAACAUCUGUGAACUGUGGACUGUCAGGCAAGAAAAAAAAAAAAACAAAAACAACUGCAUAAUUUCAUCAAUAACUCAAACUCAUUGACAAAAUUUUAUUUUAAAAUCUGUAUGAUUUAAGAAAAAAUUUAAUUUCUUUUGAAAACAUACUGACAAUAAAGACUCAGGAAGAUUGAAGAUAAUGGUAACA
rnacentral:lncRNA from 13 species